GACGAACGCUGGCGGCGUGCUUAACACAUGCAAGUCGAACGGAAAGGCCCUGCUCGCAGGGUACUCGAGUGGCGAACGGGUGAGUAACACGUGGGUGAUCUGCCCUGCACUUCGGGAUAAGCCAGUGAAACUGGGUCUAAUACCGGAUAGGUGCCAUUUUGAGUGUGAUGGUUGGAAAGUUAUUUCGGUGUAGGCUGAGCUUGCUGCCUAUCAGCUUGCUGGUGGGGUUAUGUCCUACCAAGGCGGCGACGGGUAGCAGGCCUGAGUGGGUGGACGGCCACAUUGGGACUGAGAGACGGCACAGACAGCGACGGGAGGCAACAGGGGGGAAGAUUGCACAAGGGGCGCAAGCUUGAUGCAGCGAGGCCGCGUGGGGGAUGACGGCCUUAGGGUUGUAAACUCCAUGCGCUAGUGACGAAGCUUUUUGUGACGGUACCUAGAUAGAAAGCACCGGCUAACUACGUG
rnacentral:rRNA from 1 species